rnacentral:rRNA from 1 species
UACGUAGGGUGCAAGCGUUGUCCGGAAUUAUUGGGCGUAAAGAGCUCGUAGGCGGUCUGUCGCGUCUGCUGUGAAAACUCAGGGCUUAACCCUGAGCUUGCAGUGGGUACGGGCAGACUAGAGUGCGGUAGGGGAGACUGGAAUUCCUGGUGUAGCGGUGAAAUGCGCAGAUAUCUGGAGGAACACCGGUGGCGAAGGCGGCAUCCUGGACCGACACUGACGCUGAGGCGCGAAAGCCAGGGGAGCGAACGGG